CCAGACUCCUACGGGAGGCAGCAGUAGGGAAUUUUCGGCAAUGGGGGGAACCCUGAUGCAGCGACGCCGCGUGGGUGAAGAAGCGCCUCGGCGCGUAAAGCCCUGUCAGCAGGGAAGAAAAUGACGGUACCUGAAGAAGAAGCCCCGGCUAACUACGUGCCAGCAGCCGCGGUAAUACGUAGGGGGCAAGCGUUAUCCGGAUUUACUGGGUGUAAAGGGGGCGCAGACGGCGAUGCAAGCCAGGAGUGAAAGCCCGCGGCUCAACUGCGGUAGUGCAUUUGGAACUGUAUGGCUGGAGUGCAGGAGAGGCAGGCGGAAUUCCUAGUGUAGCGGUGAAAUGCGUAGAUAUUAGGAGGAACACCAGUGGCGAAGGCGGCCUGCUGGACUGUAACUGACGUUGAGGCUCGAAAGCGUGGGGAGCAAACAGGAUUAGAUACCCGAGUAAC
rnacentral:rRNA from 1 species